rnacentral:sRNA from 1 species
AUGUACCACUUUACACUGCGGUUGCUCCGCGCCAUCCGCACCCAUCUGGCGACUGCUCGCUAGGUUUUGUUAGCC